AUGUCUCAUCUCUCACUUGUCAGCUUCAGAGCUUCGUCGAGGAUCUUGCAGAAGUAUAACUUCAAAUCUUUCAUUUCACCAAGAAAAUUUCGAGUACUGGCUUUCAAAAUACAUAAAGAAAUGCUUAUAUUUAUUGUUGUUUACAAUGCCAAUAAGUCAAGAUCCAGAGAAUCACUGCAGAAUGAUAGCUUAUCAAAGGAUGAUUUCAAAGUAUAUCCUGAGUUUCUGGAUGAUUUUGAGUUGCAGCCUUCAAAGAGAUAA